GAUAAAGAGUUUGUGGUGUAGGAUUUGCAGCUGUAAUAUGGGAUGAGUUGUAUCACCAUAAAUUUAAGUUGGUGCAUGCAAUCAUGUAAAGUCGCCUCUCCUUUUUGUCACUUCUCACGAGUGCUUCUGUUGUAUUAAAGAGUUGUCACGCUAUUAGUAGCUGUGUGAUAUGUGAAGCAUGGUUACACUAGAACAUGAAAAUCUUGGCGAAUGAUAUCCGCUCUUUCACUAUGUUUUUGUUGCAUGAAUAUUACUGUUGUUAGACCUGAUUUCAGUUUCAUUUAGAGUAUCCUAGAUCUAACGAAGUUGUGUUCACAAUCUGAUAUCUGAUUGA
rnacentral:lncRNA from 1 species